UCGCAAGACCAAAGAGGGGGACCUUCGGGCCUCUUGCCAUCAGAUGUGCCCAGAUGGGAUUAGCUUGUUGGUGAGGUAACGGCUCACCAAGGCGACGAUCCCUAGCUGGUCUGAGAGGAUGACCAGCCACACUGGAACUGAGACACGGUCCAGACUCCUACGGGAGGCAGCAGUGGGGAAUAUUGCACAAUGGGCGCAAGCCUGAUGCAGCCAUGCCGCGUGUAUGAAGAAGGCCUUCGGGUUGUAAAGUACUUUCAGCGGGGAGGAAGGUGUUGUGGUUAAUAACCGCAGCAAUUGACGUUACCCGCAGAAGAAGCACCGGCUAACUCCGUGCCAGCAGCCGCGGUAAUACGGAGGGUGCAAGCGUUAAUCGGAAUUACUGGGCGUAAAGCGCACGCAGGCGGUCUGUCAAGUCGGAUGUGAAAUCCCCGGGCUCAACCUGGGAACUGCAUUCGAAACUGGCAGGCUUGAGUCUUGUAGAGGGGGGUAGAAUUCCAGGUGUAGCGGUGAAAUGCGUAGAGAUCUGGAGGAAUACCGGUGGCGAAGGCGGCCCCCUGGACAAAGACUGACGCUCAGGUGCGAAAGCGUGGG
rnacentral:rRNA from 1 species